GGCGAGGCCGAAAGGCGUAGUCGAUGGGAAACAGGUUAAUAUUCCUGUACUUGGUGUUACUGCGAAGGGGGGACGGAGAAGGCUAUGUUGGCCGGGCGACGGUUGUCCCGGUUUAAGCGUGUAGGCUGGUUUUCCAGGCAAAUCCGGAAAAUCAAGGCUGAGGCGUGAUGACGAGGCACUACGGUGCUGAAGCAACAAAUGCCCUGCUUCCAGGAAAAGCCUCUAAGCAUCAGGUAACAUCAAAUCGUACCCCAAACCGACACAGGUGGUCAGGUAGAGAAUACCAAGGCGCUUGAGAGAACUCGGGUGAAGGAACUAGGCAAAAUGGUGCCGUAACUUCGGGAGAAGGCACGCUGAUAUGUAGGUGAAGCGACUUGCUCGUGGAGCUGAAAUCAGUCGAAGAUACCAGCUGGCUGCAACUGUUUAUUAAAAACACAGCACUGUGCAAACACGAAAGUGGACGUAUACGGUGUGACGCCUGCCCGGUGCCGGAAGGUUAAUUGAUGGGGUCAGCGCAAGCGAAGCUCUUGAUCGAAGCCCCGGUAAACGGCGGCCGUAACUAUAACGGUCCUAAGGUAGCGAAAUUCCUUGUCGGGUAAGUUCCGACCUGCACGAAUGGCGUAAUGAUGGCCAGGCUGUCUCCACCCGAGACUCAGUGAAAUUGAACUCGCUGUGAAGAUGCAGUGUACCCGCGGCAAGACGGAAAGACCCCGUGAACCUUUACUAUAGCUUGACACUGAACAUUGAGCCUUGAUGUGUAGGAUAGGUGGGAGGCUUGGAAGUGUGGACGCCAGUCUGCAUGGAGCCGACCUUGAAAUACCACCCUUUAAUGUUUGAUGUUCUAACGUUGACCCGUAAUCCGGGUUGCGGACAGUGUCUGGUGGGUAGUUUGACUGGGGCGGUCUCCUCCUAAAGAGUAACGGAGGAGCACGAAGGUUGGCUAAUCCUGGUCGGACAUCAGGAGGUUAGUGCAAUGGCAUAAGCCAGCUUGACUGCGAGCGUGACGGCGCGAGCAGGUGCGAAAGCAGGUCAUAGUGAUCCGGUGGUUCUGAAUGGAAGGGCCAUCGCUCAACGGAUAAAAGGUACUCCGGGGAUAACAGGCUGAUACCGCCCAAGAGUUCAUAUCGACGGCGGUGUUUGGCACCUCGAUGUCGGCUCAUCACAUCCUGGGGCUGAAGUAGGUCCCAAGGGUAUGGCUGUUCGCCAUUUAAAGUGGUACGCGAGCUGGGUUUAGAACGUCGUGAGACAGUUCGGUCCCUAUCUGCCGUGGGCGCUGGAGAACUGAGGGGGGCUGCUCCUAGUACGAGAGGACCGGAGUGGACGCAUCACUGGUGUUCGGGUUGUCAUGCCAAUGGCACUGCCCGGUAGCUAAAUGCGGAAGAGAUAAGUGCUGAAAGCAUCUAAGCACGAAACUUGCCCCGAGAUGAGUUCUCCCUGAGACUUUAAGUCUCCUGAAGGAACGUUGAAGACGACGACGUUGAUAGGCCGGGUGUGUAAGCGCAGCGAUGCGUUGAGCUAACCGGUACUAAUGAACCGUGAGGCUUAACCUU
rnacentral:rRNA from 1 species